AUUCAUAUUGUUCACCUUAAAAUGGAGUCUCUCCACCAAGGAAUGUGUGAGGGACUGCAGCACAUGUCUGAGUCUGUGUUUGUGGCAAUGUGUGAGAUAGUUGGGACCUCACAACAGGUCGCCAUCAGGAGGGAGACAACGGAUGUCAAGGAGAUGGUGGAGAGACGACUGACGAAUAAUUGGAUGUUAAGUGGCAGUUACAGAGAAGGGUUCAGAUUGAUUGGAUCAGAUAUUGACUGGAUGUACUGGCUAAAUAACCACCGAGUGAUCAUGGACAAGUCUCAGUCUAGGUAUUACAACACAACCAAUACAACCUUGAUUCUCUUUGACAAUUCUGAGAGUCCACCAGGAUUCACCCUACUUCAGUUACUGACACCAACAACAUACAGAGAUGUCCAGUCAGCAUGUGUCAGAAUGAAUGGCAAAGUCUAUAUAUCUAGUUCUAUGUACAGAGAGAUAACUUGUUCAGCAGUAUUUCCUAAUUCUACGGUACAUGGACCCUGUGGUAGUGGUAAUAUAGCAGGGAGAUUAGAAUAUGACAAUGCCCAUUGUUUUGUUUGUGACUUUUGGCCCCAGUCUGCCUCCUCGUGGAUAGACAGAUGUCACUCAUGGCCUGAUCCUGAAGAGUUGUUCAUGACAUUGUCAGAAAUGGGUGUCACUUUGUAGCAAUAGGACACCCAUUAGGACCAAAUGAAAACCUACAGUGGAGAAUUUCUUUUUCUCUGGCAGAAUAUAAACUUGUGUACUCAAUGAACCACAGUCAGUUUUUGAUAUACGGAUUGCUAAAAUGCUUUUUAAAAGAAGUCAUCAAUCAACAGUCAGAAGAAACCAAUAAACUACUGUGUUCUUAUCACAUGAAGACAACCAUUUUUUGGGCGAUUCAACAAAACACACUAUCUCAAUGGUGUCCACCAAAAUCUCCUGGCUGGUUUUUGGAUAUGCUUUAAACUCCUCCUUAAAUGGGUGCAUGAGGGAGUCUGUCCUAACUUUUUCAUCCCACAAAACAACCUGUUUCUGGCAAAGGUCCGUGGCCCAAAACAAAACAGAUUGUUCCAACAGUUACAUGAAUUGUACAAGAAAGGUCUAACCUGUCUGUUACAAAGUUCCUCUAUCAGGUCUUACAUCACUGAUAUCCUGUAUAAUCCUACGCUUUCAAUUUGUACAAAUGAGAAUGUAAUGAGGUCUGAAGUAGAUUUGGAUUUAGAACUUU
rnacentral:sRNA from 1 species